UAUCUCUCCGUACGGGGAAGGAUGAGAAGCUUCGACUAAGGUUCGAUUCGAGCGAAAGCGAGAAAGCGUUGCCAACGGCACCGCCCCGAAGGGCGAAGCGCGCAGCGCUGAGUAAUCCUUCCCCCACCACCA
rnacentral:sRNA from 1 species